rnacentral:rRNA from 1 species
ACACAUGCAAGUCGAGGGGCAGCAUGGUCUUAGCUUGCUAAGGCCGAUGGCGACCGGCGCACGGGUGAGUAACACGUAUCCAACCUGCCGUCUACUCUUGGACAGCCUUCUGAAAGGAAGAUUAAUACAAGAUGGCAUCAUGAGUCCGCAUGUUCACAUGAUUAAAGGUAUUCCGGUAGACGAUGGGGAUGCGUUCCAUUAGAUAGUAGGCGGGGUAACGGCCCACCUAGUCUUCGAUGGAUAGGGGUUCUGAGAGGAAGGUCCCCCACAUUGGAACUGAGACACGGUCCAAACUCCUACGGGAGGCAGCAGUGAGGAAUAUUGGUCAAUGGGCGAGAGCCUGAACCAGCCAAGUAGCGUGAAGGAUGACUGCCCUAUGGGUUGUAAACUUCUUUUAUAAAGGAAUAAAGUCGGGUAUGGAUACCCGUUUGCAUGUACCUUAUGAAUAAGCAUCGGCUAACUCCGUGCCAGCAGCCGCGGUAAUACGGAGGAUGCGAGCGUUAUCCGGAUUUAUUGGGUUUAAAGGGAGCGCAGACGGGUCGUUAAGUCAGCUGUGAAAGUUUGGGGCUCAACCUUAAA